UUUAAAUUUGGUUCUUCAUCACCCACAAUUUUAUAGAGAGGUGAUAGAGAUAAAUUAGUGUUAUCUUCUACAAUGGUUAUGAGGUCGAUGAUGGUGCAAGAUCGGGAGGUGGUUGCGGAGAUCAGGGUAAGUGUCAGUGUCCGCUACAGAAAUCUGGAAAUAAUCACUUCUUCUAAGAAAGUUCAUCAAGAUCUAACGUUCCAACACAACAAUCUGCUCCUUAAUCGCAACUUCUGGUGGUGGCACUGGUCCAAUCACCGAUGGUGGAAUGGGUAGCUGGUCGGCCCUUAUGGUCUUAAGCAUCAGGAAGAGUUUUUGCAACAUGUGAUUCAGAUUCAGAAGGAAUACGGGCGAGUAGAGUAUGAACUUGGGGCGCCGACUAGAGCCCAUCCAAAAUGGGCCGCUAUGAUGGUUGUGGGUAUAGGAACAGGUGUCCUAAGGAUCAUGAGCAAGCAAGACGUUGCCCCUUAUCCCAUUGUAAGUCCAUCUUGCAUGUCUAUGUUUCUUUUUGUCAUUCACUUCAUCAUUGUGUAUGUUGUUUCAGCAACUUGACGAAAUAAUAAAUAGAUAGUUUAUGAUUAAAAAAAAGCAUUUGUCGAUGUCAUAAAUAGUUACACAUGUUUCUUUUCAAUCAAUUUGUGUUUCAUUUGUGUUUUAUUUAGGGUUUAUUUGGAUAUGUACUGCUUCUUUUGAUGUUGAAUUGCAGUAAUCUUCAUUUAACUGUCUCAUUAGUGCCCGAAGCUUUUGAACCCUACAUCGAAGUUGCAGGUCAUGAAUUUGAUCCUUUUCUAUUUUAUAUAUUAUAAACAUUGUUUGGUUUCAGAAUCUGCAACAGGUUUUGUUUCUCGCUUGAAUCGUUUUAAAUUUGAGCCAGGUGUGCUACUUUUAGAUUGAAUUGCUAAAUAACUUAAAGUGUACUGAAUUGAGAGGACUUGCUUUGGGAGAUGAAGGGGAUCAAGUAAUUUCACCCUAGAGGACCGAAACGCAUGAUGCUCAAAGAUGAUGACGAGGUGCUUGCAGUUUUAGCUACACGAGGCUGCGAGAAGACUACAUCUGGAAAUAAGCUUUAUCGUGAUUACCAUAUUAAAGUGAUCGCCAGAUGACAUGGAAGGGGCCGGAAAAUUGACUGUUUGGUCGAUUUACGUUGCAAUAUCCCUUCUUCUAGACCCUUUUAAGCGUAAAUGUUGAGAUGAAAGCAUGACUGUUGAGAUGAUGAUCUCUCAAAGUUUGUUAGCAUGUGUACAUGGAGAUAACAAGAGCAACUUAGGGCAUAUAUAAGAGGCGAGAGCGCACACAUUCUUCCAUUUGGCAAAACGAGGUUUGUGGUCUGAUGGAGUGUUGGUCUAGAAGUGUUCUGUCUUGGCACAGGACGAGGGAGGCGAGGCUACUAAAUAUUUCACUGACUUUCAAUUAUAGAUGUAGCUUGGUUUGUAAAGAGUACUUGAUCUUCACUUGGUCUCAAUGACAUGUAUAGUGUACAUAUUCAAAAGAAGCCUCGAAAUAUCAUUGAGUGUCAUUGGGUUUA